AUCAUCAGGUACAUGGAAGGCACAUUUCGUUAGCGUUCUCAUUGUUCUCGUGUGUCUGAUUCUGGGUUUGGUUGGGUUGAUCCUCUACAAAUACAGAGACAAACUAACAGGUUGUGAGGAGGAAAAAGCAGUUGUGGAAGAAGCUGAAGAUAUAGAGGAACUGAAGAAAUAUGCAGUUAAUGUCACUAUUGAUUGUCAGCGUGUAAAUCCAAACCUGAAGGUUUCUCAUGGCGGUAAAUCUGUGAAGCAUGCUCCAGAUUAUAAACACACUGGAGAGGCAUUUCCUUACAAAUUAUGUGCAUUUGGAGCCCAAAGAUUCUCCUCCCGUCGUCACUAUUGGGAAGUAGAACUUGCAGUUCCACCUAAUCCUUCCAAAAACUACUGGUUAAUUGGUGUGACGAAAGAGGGAAAUUUAAAUGCAAGAGACAGAUCUGCUUUAACUCCAUCAAACGGUUUCUGGUUCUUGUGUUCAGACGGUCCUAAUGGCUUUCACAUCAACACUACUCCAUCAGUUAAACUCUCUCUGACACCGAGACCUGAACGACUGGGAGUUCUGUUGAAUUAUGAUGGCGGUCAGCUGUCAUUUUACAACGUCACAGAGAGAAAACAUCUCCUGA